GACGGAGCGAGGGGUCCAGGGUGUGGGAAACGGGGAGGGAUUUGAGGAGGGGAUCGGAAUGUGGCUCCAGUUCGGGAGGCGUUACCUGCGGAGGGUUUGAGGAAGGCCCAGGAGCGAGCCCAUGGUCUUCCGACGCGGGGCCAGGGGCGGGCCCCAGGAUCCGGAGCUUCGGGGGGGCCGAGUCCGGGUUUGGGGCCCGGGAGGCGGGGCCAGUUAGGUCGAGGGUCCCUGGGAUCGUCGGGUCAGGCCUUGGGCUAACGUAGGCACUCUCGCAGUUCCUCCGCCUUCAGGAAGGUCUUUUUAGCAGGGGCCUUACGGGUGCAUGCUUCGGUCCUGGAGGACUUAGGCUAGCCUCCUCUCCAUCAGCGCCACCCGUCUGGGGCCCGAAAGGAGGGAGCUUUCCCUCUGUCCCCCAGCCUUUGGACUGUCACCAAACAAGCCAUUCGUUCACCAAAUACUUUUUAAGCGCCUACCAUGUGCCUGACAAGGGAUAUGUAACGGUGAGAAAAACUAGGUGUGGUCCAGGCCCUUCAGGGACUCAGGGGCUCGUGGAAGAAGUGGAUAUUGAAGUACUUAUCACACAAAGGAGGAUAAAAGUACGAUAGCGAUAUCUACCACGAAGCUGUUGUUCCACACCAGAACCAAAUGAGCGCAAGAUCUGACAAAAAAAAAAGGUUCAUCUUUUAUUCUUCCAAACACUUUCAUUUAAAUCAAGAGGAUGGGAUGUGGUUAUUACUGUGUUUUUAGACAAAAUCAAUGGUUUCUGGCUCUGAGAUGUUGCAUACACCCUCUCAGUCCCUGUAUCCUGAGAUGGAGUCACCUGAGAAUCCACAGCAAGUCCUAACCAGGGAUGGGUCUGGGUGAUUAAGGAAGAUUGGCUUCAGAACUGGGCCAGGGGCACUGCUUUGCUUUUGCUGUUUUGAUCAGCUCUCUGCCUGCAGGAGACGAGGAAAACCAAUGGGAACAGGUUAGUUAUACUCAUAAAUCCUGGGCUUAUUUUAUUAACUCACAUAAUAGCUAUUAAUUGUCUUUCCUCCAAGGAGCAAAAGGGCAUAUACGGUCAAUGUCAUAGUAAGUAACACUGUAUUAUGUUACACUAAAAUAUUAAUCUAGGUUGGUUCAGUCUUUCUUGAGUCCACAGAUUGGAAGCAGAUUGAGGAAGGACGCUAGCAGACCAUAGAGCUGAGCCAUGCACACAGAAGAAAUCUUUUUUUCUUUUUUUCUGGAGACGGAGUUUUGCUCUCUAGUUGCCCAGGCUGGAGUGCAAUGGUGCGAUCUCGGCUCACUGCAACCUCCACCUCCCAGGUUCAAGCGAUUCUCCUGCCUCAGCCUCCCGAGUAGCUGGGAUUACAGGCGUGAGCCACCCUGCCGGGCCACUUUUGUAUUUUUGGUAGAGACAGGGUUUGAACACCUUGGCCAGGCUGGUCUCAAAUUCCUGACUUCAGGUUAUCCACCCGCCUCUGCCUCCCAAAGUGCUGGGAUUACAGGCAUGACCCACCGCGCCUGGCCAGAAGAAAUCUUUAUCUUGGUGCGCAGUGUCUGGUGAUGGACAAAUGUCAUCUCUCUUGGAUCUGAAUCUGGAAGGAUCAAGGCACUGAAGGGAUUUUUUUUGUUUCAGAGAGUCUCCCUCUGUUGCCAGGCUGGAGUGCAGCGGCACGACCUCGGCUCACGGCAACCUCUGCCUCCCGGGCUCCAGCGAUUCUCCUGCCUCAGCAUCUCGAGUAGCUGGGACUACAGGCACACAUCACCACGCCCAGCUAAUUUUUGUAUUUUUAGUAGAGACAGGGUGUUACCAUGUUGGCCAGGAUGGUCUCAAUCUCUUGACAUCAUGAUCCACCUACCUUGGCCUCCCAAAGCGCUAGGAUUACAGGCGUGAGCCACCACGCCCAGCCUCACUAAAGGGAUUUUUUUAAUAUCACGUGGCUCUCACAGGUGCGGUGUGUUCGGGUGCAAGUGAAGAUUAUGACUGAUGCUUAAAACCAAACGUAAAAUUCCAGGUGGUGUUGCUAUGGGGAGCAGCAUUAGGACAAUCUGAGUGGCUUCAGUUGCAAGAGUGUGCGUGUACGUGCAAGAACUACAGUCAAGAUUCAACUUCUGGUUUGAAGAUCUCUUUCAUAACAGUAAUAACAACCUAAGGCAGUUUAACAAUAUGGAAUGGUUGCCUUUUAGAAGUUAACUUAUGGGCAUGGAAGUUCAAUCAGUACAUUGAAGUUUUUCCUUUAUCUCUCCUAUGGUUAAUGGUUUCUGCAGAAAAGGACCAAUUGAUUUCUUUCUAAAACGUUGCUUCAGGGUGUAGAGACCUUUAUAGGUCAUGUUUUAAUUUACAGAAAAUUUUUAUAGUUUAAAUAUAAAUUACGUUCAAUGUGGGCUUUGUAAUACAAUUUAAGGUUAAGUAAAGUUUCCACUUUCCUUAGGCUGUUUGCAGUGCCCAGCAGGCCCCAUGAUAUCGAGAUGGAAGUUAUGUUAAAGGAGGAGGUUGGUCAGGGAUGGGCAGAAUAAGGAAUAUGCGCAGCUCAGGCUAAUGAUGCAAUGAUUGAGGUGUAGAAAGAGGGCCAAGCAUGGGAUAACGCCUGUAAUCCCAGUGCCUUGGGAGGCCAAGGCAAGAGAAUCUCUUGAGGUCAGACCAGCCUGGUCAACAGAGUGAGACCUAACCUGUACAAAAAAAAAACACACAAAAAAACAAAAAAAAUUAGUUGGGCAUGAUGGUGUGCACCUGUAGUCUCAGCCACUUGGAAGGCUGAGGUCAGGGGAUCCCUUGAGCCCAGGAGUUUGAGGCUGCAGUGAGCUAUAAUCACAUAACUGUACUCCAGCCUGGAUGACAGGGUGAGGCGCUGACUCAAAAAAAAAAAAAAAAAAAUGAGUCAGGGAAAAAAUUGGAAAUCUUAAUCCUCGGUACCCAGGAAUGUGACCUUAUUUGGAAAUAGGGUCUUUCUAGAUGUAAUCAAGUAACGAUGAGUCAUCCUGGAUUGGGGGCUGCUGGUGAGGGGGCAGAUGCAAUGACUGGUGUCCUUAUAAAAGAAGAGAAUGAAGGCCGUGCAUGGUGGCUCAUGCCUGGAGUCUCAGCACACUUUGGGAGGGUGAGGUGGGGGGAAUCACUUGAAGUCAGGAGUUCGAGACCAGCCUGGCCAAUAAUAACAAUAAAAAAGCCAUUUUAGAUUCCAAUCCACUGAAAGAAAACUGUCCCUUAGUUAAUGUCGUGCUUAUUGGAUCCAUGAAGUCUUUGAAAAUUUAAACUACAAGGACACUGCCCUCUGUGGUGGUGGAGAGAAUACCAAGGACUUAAAGGUCUUUAAGAAAGAGAAUGUAGAAAAUGUACCCAUUGGAAACAGCAAAAUGAUGAUAAUCGUACUGACAGUAAUAAUAAGCUCAAAUAUAUAGAGCUUACUGUGUAUCAUGAAUUGUUCUGAAUGCUUUAUAAAUAUAUGUUACCCCCUUUACCCUCAUGGCAGCCCAGUAAAGGCGCCAUUCCCCAUUUUACAGCUGGGGAAACUGAGUUACAGAGCUUUUCUGCACUGAGUCAUCAGGAGCAAAUGCUAGAUCAGGUAAUUGAACCCAAGCAAUCUGGUUCCAGAGCCAAAUAGAUGUAUGUUUUAUGGUAUACAAACAUAUACAUACAUUUUUAGGGGAAGGGUGGGGGUAGGAUGGGAUGAGGAUUAUGAGUAAUUGCUUGGUAAAUGCCAAAUACCUUUCUUGUCUGUCCCUCUUUUCAAAUGAUAAAGUAAUGUCAAUUGCACACUUUUUUUUUUUUUUUUUUGAGACAAGGUCUAGCUGGAGUACAGUGAUGCAGUCAUAGCCCACUGCAGCCUCAGAUUCCUGGGCUCAAGCAAUCCACCCACAUCAGUUUCCCAAGUAGUUGGGACUACAGGCCCACACUACUAUGCCCAGCUAAUUAUUUUAAUUUUUGUAGAGAUGGCAGGUGGCGGUGGGGGGGGGGGGUUGUCUCGCUAUGUUGCCCAGGGUGGUCUCGAACACUUGACCUCAAGUGAACCUCCUGCCUCAGCCCCACAAAUCUCUGCAAUUAUAGGUGUGAGCCACUGUGGCUGGCUACAAUACUAUUUAUUUAUAUUUUAGACCAACAGAUAUUCUAGUAUAUAAGAAAUGUGAUGCUCUCUGUACAUUGAAGAGUUGGGCUAAUAUUUGUCCUGGUGGAUACAGAAAUUGCCUGUCUGCUCCGCUCUGGUUGAAGAAACCAGUCCGACUGUCUCUGAGGCUAUGGAGCAGUCCAUGAAGAAUGAAAGCCCUCUGCCAGGCAUGUUGGCUCACACCUGUAAUACCAGCACUUUGGGAGGCCGAGGCAGGUGGAUCACUUGAAGUCAGGAGUUCGACACCAGCAUGGUCAACAUGGUGAAACCCUGUCUCUACAAAAAAUAGAAAAAUUAGCUGGGCCUGGUGAUGCGUGCCUGUAAUCCCAGCUACUCAGGAGGCUGAGGCAAGAGAGUCACUUGAACUUGGGAAGCAGAGGUUACAGUGGGGAGCUGAGAUCACACCACUGCAUUCCAGCCUGAGCGACAGAGCGAGACUCUCUCCAAAAAAAAAAAAAAAAAAAAAAAGAAAGAAUGAAUGUCCUCAUGAUGGCCUCAAGCACAUUGGUCCCUGAAGAGGGUCAAAGAAGGCCCACUUUACUCUGCACUGCAAAGCAGGCAGGUGGACAGGAUGAGAAGUGGAUUCAGUGAGAGGCAUUGACCCAGAGGAUUUUCUGCCUAAUGGUUCAGCAGAAGAUUAAACUGAGCACAGCAUCCUGUUCCCUGAAACCAUCUGGUUGGUCAGUGGGGAAUGUUCUUGUCUCGUUAAAUGUUCUCAUGCUACUGUCAAGAUAUUCUGUUACAAAACGUCAUAAACCACGUUUACAAAUAG